UAUAAUGUAAAUAAAUUAUUUCUAAACCCAUGUUCAUAAUAUACUCAAUUAAGAUUUAAAAAUAAGAUUUUAAGAUCUGAAAUUAAGUUUAAUAGAUCUGAAAAUAAGUUUGUAAGAUUUAAAAUUUAAUGCAUAAAAUAUGAGAUUGGGUAUGGGUUGAAUAAAUUAGAUCUAGAGACCAAACUACAAUUAGGGUCCAUGAUUAGAUCCAGC
rnacentral:lncRNA from 1 species